CAGUUGUGUGUCUUCAUCGUUUGCCCGAACGACUCCGCCCUGCUGGAGGGAAACACUCAAGGCAGCAGUGGCCAACUUAACACUAGACCAGCAACGUUUUCCUUUGUUAUAUACAUUUUUACUCUGACCGGUCGUCGAUACAUUCAGGUGGUCAUUCGACUCCAAUCACGAUCAGCUGUUCACUGAAGAGGAGCAACUAUUGGACAAGAAGGACGCCAUAUAGACGAGAUUCAGCUUGCUGUGAAAUUUCAUCCAGUGUCGCCAGUUGCUUUCCCGAUUCUCUUCAGCCCCGUGAACACGUCAGAUUGUUCGGCCACGAUUUCAUCGUCUCGCACACAUAAAAUAAAUAAAACGGGCCCAGAAAAAAAAAAAGGGAAUGAAAACGACAAGACUCUCGCAUUCCACUUUGAUCGUUCCACAACGUGAAUCCUGAAUAAACAACACCACAAUCA